GACGAACGCUGGCGGCGUGCUUAACACAUGCAAGUCGAACGGAAAGGCCCUGCUUUUGUGGGGUGCUCGAGUGGCGAACGGGUGAGUAACACGUGAGUAACCUGCCCUUGACUUUGGGAUAACUUCAGGAAACUGGGGCUACUACCGGAUAGGAGCUCCUGCUGCAUGGUGGGGGUUGGAAAGUUUCGGCGGUUGGGGAUGGACUCGCGGCUUAUCAGCUUGUUGGUGGGGUAGUGGCUUACCAAGGCAGUGACGGGUAGCCGGCCUGAGAGGGUGACCGGCCACAUUGGGACUGCGGUACGGCCCAGACUCCUACGGGAGGCAGCAGUGGGGAAUAUUGCACAAUGGGCGGAAGCCUGAUGCAGCAACGCCGCGUGCGGGAUGACGGCCUUCGGGUUGUAAACCGCUUUCGCCUGUGACGAAGCGUGAGUGACGGUAAUGGGUAAAGAAGCACCGGCUAACUACGUG
rnacentral:rRNA from 1 species